AGGUUAAGUUAAAAAGGGCGCAUGGUGAAUGCCUUGGCACUAGAAGCCGAUGAAGGACGGGACUAACACCGAUAUGCUUCG
rnacentral:rRNA from 1 species